CAACGCUCUUCGAGCUGGACCUGCCGUUGUGUCGUACUAGUAGCUCGUAGUAAACAACUCACCGGCCGGAGCGUCCAACGCCAGCGCCAGCGGCAUGGUAUCCAAUCAUCAGAUGCUCAUCUACUUGCAAGGCUACUAGCCAGUAGUCCAGUACGGGUUGAACUGGUUCAGAAGAAGAAAAAGGUUCAGAGAAUGGUAGGCCGGCAGGAGGCGGCACGCAUGAUUGGCGUCCGCACCUUUUGGCGCGAGUUGUACUGUGUCGACAAGUAUGGCACUCAGUGCCACCAGUAUUCAGAAGAAGAAGAAGAAGAAGAAAAGAAGCUGCUCCUACAGGCUUGUGCACGAGCGAGUCCUUGGAUUAAGGACCGCCUUGGAAUGUGCAGCACCGUCACCUUCUA
rnacentral:misc_RNA from 1 species